rnacentral:rRNA from 1 species
CCUACGGGCGGCAGCAGUGAGGAAUAUUGGUCAAUGGCCGGAAGGCUGAACCAGCCAUGCCGCGUGAAGGUCAGUGCCCUAUGGGCGUUAAACUUCUUUUGUGCGGGAGCAAUAAUGGUCACGUGUGGCCAGACGAGAGUACCGUACGAAUAAGCAUCGGCUACUCCGUGCCAGCAGCCGCGGUAAUACGGGGGAUGCAAGCGUUAUCCGGAUUUAUUGGGUUUAAAGGGUGCGUAGGCUGUGAGGUAAGUCAGCGGUGAAAUGCCCCCGCUCAACGGGGUGAAGUGCCAUUGAUACUGCCUGGCUGGAAUGCGGAUGCCGUGGGAGGAAUGUGUGGUGUAGCGGUGAAAUGCAUAGAUAUCACACAGAACACCGAUUGCGAAGGCAUCUCACGAAUCCGCGAUUGACGCUGAGGCACGAAGGCCAGGGGAGCGAAAGGGAUUAGAUACCCUGGUAGUC